rnacentral:rRNA from 1 species
GAAAGGAGCGAUCCGGACAGGGAUGGGCAUGCGGCGCAUUAGCUGGUCGGCGGGGUAACGGCCCACCGAGGCGACGAUGCGUAGGGGUUCUGAGAGGAAGGCCCCCCACACUGGUACUGAGACACGGACCAGACUCCUACGGGAGGCAGCAGUGAGGAAUAUUGGUCAAUGGGCGGGAGCCUGAACCAGCCAAGCCGCGUGAGGGAAGAAGGUACAGCGUAUCGUAAACCUCUUUUGUCAGGGAACAAAGGCGGGGACUAGUCCCCGGAUGAGGGUACCUGAAGAAAAAGCAUCGGCUAACUCCGUGCCAGCAGCCGCGGUAAUACGGAGGAUGCGAGCGUUAUCCGGAUUUAUUGGGUUUAAAGGGUGCGCAGGCGGCCUGUUAAGUCAGCGGUAAAAGCCCGGGGCUCAACCCCGGCGAGCCGUUGAAACUGGCGGGCUGGAGUUGGAGAGAAGUACGCGGAAUGCGCGGUGUAGCGGUGAAAUGCUUAGAUAUCGCGCAGAACCCCGAUUGCGAAGGCAGCGUACCGGCUCCACACUGACGCUGAGGCACGAAAGCGUGGGUAUCGAACAGGAUUAGAUACCCUGGUAGUCCACGCAGUAAACG